rnacentral:rRNA from 1 species
CGCGUAGGCGGCCUGUUAAGUCUGGAGUGAAAGUCCCGCUUUCAAGGUGGGAAUUGCUUUGGAUACUGAUGGGCUUGAGUGCAGGAGAGGAAAGCGGAAUUACCGGUGUAGCGGUGAAAUGCGUAGAGAUCGGUAGGAACACCAGUGGCGAAGGCGGCUUUCUGGACUGAAACUGACGCUGAGGCGCGAAAGCGUGGGGAGCAAACAG